GGAAUGAGGAUGUAUGCGAGUGGGUGUUUGACAAAACAAGAAUUCAACAGUAUUGGGACGCACAGAUCAUACAGACAACAAAUAUCAUAAGGAAUAUCUAUAACAUUCGACUGGAGGCAGAACGGCAAUACCUUGCACAACAUUAUCAAGUUAAAAUGAACAAAUCGGAAACGGAAAUACAGAAGUUCAAGAAAAGUUAUAAAGCCCAACUGUUACAAUUGCAAGAAAAGGUAGCAAAAGUUCAAGAAUUAUGGAAGAAAAUGGAAUCUAAUUGCUCAACUUCGAAUAAUCGACAAAGAUGCACGAGACUGAGGGGAGAAUUUCGCAUCAUGGUUGAUAUCGUCGUCACAAAGUAAUUGAUUUUUAUUGAAUCCAGUUUUGUAUAUGCAGGAAGUAGAGAAAUUAGUCAUGAAAAGGAAAUUUUUGAAAAAGAAAGUUUGAGAACCAAAGCAAGCACAAACGAAGAGUUUUACCAACAAAACGACGUGUUUGAGGAGGCUGGAUCACUUGAUUAACCACCUUAAUAAUUUUCAGGUUACAUGUACAUACAUAGUAGAAAAAGCUACUUU